GCCGGGCGUGGUGGUGCGUGCCUGUAAUCCCAGCUACUCAGGAGGCUGAGGCAGGAGAAUCGUUUGAACCUGGGAGGUGGAGGUUGCAGUGAGCCGAGAUCGCGCCACUGCACUCCAGCCUGGGUGACAGAGUGAGACUCUGUCUCAA
rnacentral:SRP_RNA from 1 species